AACGUAGGUCCCGAGCGUUAUCCGGAUUUACUGGGCGUAAAGCGUGUUCAGGCGGUCUAGCAAGUCGGGCAUGAAAUCUCUCGGCUCAACCGGGAGGGGUUGUCCGAUACUGCUGGGCUUGAGGGCAGCAGAGGGUGGUGGAAUUCCGGGUGUAGUGGUGAAAUGCGUAGAUAUCGGGAAGAACACCAGUGGCGAAGGCGGCUAUCUGGACGGUUUCUGACGCUAAGACGCGAAAGCGUGGGGAGCAAACAGG
rnacentral:rRNA from 1 species